rnacentral:rRNA from 1 species
CAGUGGGGAAUCUUGCGCAAUGGACGAAAGUCUGACGCAGCCACGCCGCGUGAGUGAAGAAGGCCUUCGGGUUGUAAAGCUCUGUCACCUGGGACGAAAACACUUGAGGUUAACAGCCUCAGGAAUUGACGGUACCAGGGGAGGAAGCACCGGCUAACUUCGUGCCAGCAGCCGCGGUAAUACGAAGGGUGCAAGCGUUGCUCGGAAUUAUUGGGCGUAAAGGGUUGGUAGGUGGUCUUGUUUGUCUAAGGUGAAAUCCCAGGGCUUAACCCUGGAAGUGCCUUAGAAACGGCAAGACUAGAGUCCUAGAGGGGUUUGUGGAAUUCCCGGUGUAGCGGUGAAAUGCGUAGAGAUCGGGAGGAACACCAGCGGCGAAGGCGGCAAACUGGAUAGGCACUGACACUCAACAACGAAAGCGUGGGGAGCAAACAGGAUUAGA